UACGUAGGGGCAAGCGUUGUCCGGAUUUAUUGGGCGUAAAGAGCGUGUAGGCGGCCAGGUAGGUCUGCUGUGAAAACUCGAGGCUCAACCUCGAGAUGUCGGCGGAAACCAUCUGGCUAGAGUCCGGAAGAGGAAAGUGGAAUUCCCGGUGUAGCGGUGAAAUGCGCAGAUAUCGGGAAGAACACCCGUGGCGAAGGCGGCUUUCUGGGACGGUACUGACGCUGAGACGCGAAAGCGUGGGGAGCGAACAGG
rnacentral:rRNA from 1 species